GGUUAAUCAGGAAGAUGUUUAAAUUUAUUAUUUUCUUUGACAUCAAACUACUGUUUCUGCCACUACUUGAAAAAUAGCAAAAACCUUUGAAUUUAUUAUUACGAUGGAAUUUUUCAAAGAUACAUUAACAUGAUGUUGAUAGAGAAAUUAGACUUGAAUUACAAACUAAGGCUCUACCACCUUCCUAAAUUCCACUAUCCUAAUACAUUUUAUUUUCUUUAAUUUUUGCUUUAAAAGUGCUCAAGAUUCAGAGGAAUACUGAGAACAGAACUUCCGUUAUGAACUUCUAAUAAUUUACCAUACAGAAAAUGGUAAUAGUAAAAAAUAGACUUGCAGUUUCCUUAUUGAUCCCUAUUGACAAAGUUCUGCUGAACAAGUUUCAGACAUAAGUACACAGGGAAGGACCUAUGGCAGUGGGAUAGAAGAAAAGCUCUUUCAUGUAAGAUGUAUUUUAAGACUGAAACUCAAGGCUACAGCUAAGCUGGUACACUACAGAGAUGAUUUUCUGAGUGGAAGAAGCAGUAAAAAGCUCAGGAUACAACCCUCCUGCCCUUCCUCUAUCACAGUUGUUGCUAGCUGUAAUCAAUUAACUGCACUCAACCACACCUAUGCUGGUAAAGAAACUGCUAAACGUUGUCUUGUGGGGUGUAGUGCAGAGCUGAAAGCAGUGCUAUUUCCUAGUGGUAAUUAUUUCCCAUUGACUCAGACCAAAGGACGGUGUGGACACCUCACAAACAGAGCUGUCCAGGAUGAAAGGAACACGAAGAGCAAGUGCUGCAUCCUCGUGCAAUGCCUUUGAUUCCUAUUGGAUGGUACUUCAAAUAAAGCUCUGGAUUUUUGCUUAUCA
rnacentral:lncRNA from 1 species